rnacentral:rRNA from 1 species
GAUGAACGCUGGCGGCGUGCUUAAUACAUGCAAGUCGAACGAAGCACCUUGGACAGAAUCCUUCGGGAGGAAGACCAUUGUGACUGAGUGGCGGACGGGUGAGUAACGCGUGGGUAACCUGCCUUGUACAGGGGGAUAACAGUUGGAAACGACUGCUAAUACCGCAUAAGCGCACAGUACCGCAUGGUACGGUGUGAAAAACUCCGGUGGUACAAGAUGGACCCGUGUCUGAUUAGCUGGUUGGUGAGGUAACGGCCCACCAAGGCGACGAUCAGUAGCCGACUUGAGAGAGUGAUCGGCCACAUUGGGACUGAGACACGGCCCAAACUCCUACGGGAGGCAGCAGUAGGGAAUAUUGCACAAUGGGGGAAACCCUGAUGCAGCGACGCCGCGUGAAGGAAGAAGUAUUUCGGUAUGUAAACUUCUAUCAGCAAGGAAGAAAAUGACGGUACUUGACUAAGAAGCCCCGGCUAAAUACGUGCCAGCAGCCGCCGUAAGAC